rnacentral:rRNA from 1 species
CCCUUAGAUGUUCUGGGCCGCACGCGCGCUACACUGAUGCAUUCAACGAGUUUCUUCCUGGUCCGAGAGGAAUGGGUAACCUUUUGAAAGUGCAUCGUGAUAGGGAUAGACUAUUGCAAUUAUUGGUCUUCAACGAGGAAUUCCUAGUAGACGUAGUACAUCAGACUGCAUCGAUUACGUCCCUGCCCUUUGUACACACCGCCCGUCGCUCCUACCGAUUGAAUGCUCAGGUGAGCCAUUCGGACUUUCAUCAUGCUGGUUUCCAGUUUUGAUGAAGGAAAGUCUUGCGAACCUUAUCAUUUAGAGGAAGGAGAAGUCGUAACA